rnacentral:rRNA from 1 species
UGCCAGCCGCCGCGGUAAUACGAGGGUCCCAAGCGUUGUUCGGAAUCACUGGGCGUAAAGCGUACGUAGGCGGAUUAAUAAGUUAGAGGUGAAAUCCCAGGGCUCAACCCUGGAACUGCCUUUAAUACUGCUAGUCUUGAGUUCGAGAGAGGUAAGUGGAAUUCCAAGUGUAGAGGUGAAAUUCGUAGAUAUUUGGAGGAACACCAGUGGCGAAGGCGGCUUACUGGCUCGAUACUGACGCUGAGGUGCGAAAGUGUGGGGAGCAAACAGGAUUAGAUA